rnacentral:lncRNA from 10 species
CGCGGGCGCUCCGGCCGCGUCGGCCCACGCCGGCGUCCGCGCGUGGGAAGGGAAACCGUCGCCACCUAGCGGUUUCUGCGCGUGCCCACGCACCGGCCGGCGGCGGAAGACGCCUGCGGGGCGGGUGCGGGAGCGCCUCCUGGUGGACAACGCAGGGGCCAGCACAGAGGCUGACAGCCAUUGUUUCAACCUCCAUGAGCUGAACCUCCAGGAAGCAGCUUCCUGGGGAUUUAAAGAGACAAUACUUGUGCUCCCACCCCCAUGUCUUUUGGGAACCAGACAUUUAAGGAAAUCUUUGUCGGGUCACUGGUUGAUUACAGAAAUGAUGGAACAGAAACUUUAGUGACCACAAACAACAAUAUAUAUCUUGCAAAAAUAGUUUUAAAAAGUCAUAAAUAGAUGACCCAGUCCUCAUAAAGUACAAGAAAUCUCUGAGGUAUUGAAGAAUUAGAUAUCCAGUUAGUGCAACAUGGUAUUUAAAAUUUCUAGCUCUCAACAAACAAUUACAAAACAUACAAAAAAAGAGGAAAACAUGGUCCAUUCACAGAAAAAAAGAAGUUUACAGAAAUCUUUUCUAAGAAAGACCAGACAUUGGAAUUAUUAGUCAAUGGCAUUAAGUCAACUGCCUUAAAUAUGUUUAAUGAGAUAAGGAAAACCAUAAACCAAGAACUAAAAGGAAUCAGUAGAAUUAUAUAUGAACAAAGAAAGAAUAUCAAUUAAUAAAUAGAAAUAAAAAAGAACUAAACUGAAAUUCUGGAGGUGAAAACUGUAAUAACUGAAAUGAAAAAUUAACUAGAGGCAUUCAACAGCAGGUUUGAGCAAGUGGAAAAAAGUGUCUAUGAACUUGAAGACGGGGCAAUUGAAAUUAUCCAGUCUGGGGAGCACAAAGACAAAAGAAUAAGUAAAAGUGAACAGAGGCUAAGGGCCCUGUAGGACACCAUCAAGUGAAUCAAAUUUACAAUAUGAGAGUUUCAGAAAGAGUAGAGAGAGUUGGGAAAGAAAGAACAUCUGACGAAAUAAUGACUGGCAAAUGUCCCAAAUUCGAUGAAAGAAAUGAAUCUACAGAUCCGAGAAACUCAACAAACCUCCAAGGAUAAACUCAACAAACUCCUAGGAUAAACUCAAAGAGCUUCACCCCAAGACAUAUUAUAAUCAAAGUGUCAAAAGUCAGAGACAAAGAGAAUCUUGAAAACAGAAAAAGAGAAAUGAUUAGUCACACACAAGGACUCCUCAAUAAGAUUAAGAGCUGCUUUCUCAUCAGAAACCAUGGAGACCAGCAGGCAGUGGAAUGAAAAAGUGCUGAAAGAAAAAACUCAAGGAAGAAUUCUCUCUCUGGCAAAACUAUCUUUCAAAAAUGAAGGAUAAAUUAAGACAUUCACAGAUAAAAUCUGAGAACAUUCACUGCCAGUAGACCUGCUCUCACAAGAAAUGCUAAUGGGAGUCCUUGGGGGCUGAAAUGAGAGGACACUGGACAGCAAAUUGAAGCCAUAUGAAGAAAUAAAGAUCUCUAGUAAAGAUAACUGCAUAGAUUAAUAUAAAAACAGUAUUGUUGCAUUUUUGGUUUGUAACUAUUUCCUAUGCAGUUCAAAAGACAAAUACAUGAAAAGUAAUUAUAAAUCUUUUAACAGGCAUACAUGUAAAAUGUGUAAUUUAUGGCCAGGCACAGUGGCUCAUGCCUGUAAUCCCAGCCCUUUGGGAGGCCAAGGUUGAGCGACCACUUGAAGCCAAGAAUUCAAGAUCAGCCUGUGCAAUGUAGAGAGACCCCAUAUCUAAAAAAAAAAAAAAAAUUAAAUUAAAAAAAAAUAGCCAGGCAUAGUGGCACAUGCCUGUAGUCUCAGCUACUCAGGAGGCUGAGGUGUGAGGAUUGCUUGAGCCCAGGAGUUUGAGGGUGCAGUGAUCUAUGAUCACACCACUGCACUCCAGCCUGGGUGAACAGGCAAGACCCUGUCUCAAGGGAAAAAAAGAUAUUAAUUGUGAUAACAGCAACAUAAAGGUAGGAGGGGAUGAACCGUAUAGGAGCAGAAUUUUUGUGUGCUGUUGAAGCUAAGUUGGUAUUAAUUCAAACUAGACUGUUAUAAAUUUAGGAUGCUACAGUGGACAGAAUGUUUAUUUUUUUUUUUUGUAGAGACAAGGUCUUAUUAUGUUGCUUAGGCUGGUCUCAAACCCCUGACCUCAAGCAAUCCUCCCACCUCAGCCUCCUAAAGUGUUAGGAUUACAGAUGUGCGCCACCAGGCCUGGCUUGAAGUUAUUUUUAUCAAGAUCAAUUUUUUAUGUAAAUGACUUGAUAUUUUGGGGAUCCACAUCAUAAUUUACUGACUGUAGAUUCUGCUAUUGUAAGCUUUCUUUAGGGAUUAUUAUUCCUACCAAGUCAAUUUUCCUUGGUCAAAUUAUGCAUAUCAAAAUGUUAAAUAUACUUUUCUUCCAUCAAUUUUCAGUCAAUGAUAAAUUUUACCACGUGCAGUUUUAACCAUUAUCAGUUUUUGCUAUAGACUGUUUGUGUCCCCCCAGAUUCCUGUUUUGAAACCUGUCCCCCAGUAUGAUGGUAUUUGGAGGUUUGACCUUUGGGAGGUGAUAAGGUUGUGAGGGUAGAGCCCUCAUGAAUGGCAUCAGUGCCCUUACAAAACAAGCCACAGAGAGCUCCCUUUCUGCCUUCUGCCAUCUGAGGACACAGUGAGAAGACAGCUAUCUGUGAACCAGGGGGUUGGCCCUCACCAGAUACCAAAUCUUCUGGGACUUUGAGCUAGGACAUCCCAGCUUCCAGAACUGUGAGGAAUAAAUUUCAGUUAUUGAUAUGUCAUCCCGUUUAUGGUGUUUUGUUGUAGCAGCCUGAAUGGACUAAGUUUUAU